AUUUAAUAUUGUUGGAUGGAACGGAAACGAAGUGAAAUUCCUCGGCUUCGAUUUUGUUUACUUGUUUACAUUUGUUUUUCAUAUAAUAUUGUGUUCAAACAUCAGUUUGGUGACUCAGUCAGGCAAAGUAACUGUUCUGCGUUUCGCUAGUUUUGAUCAUAGAGAGCGUUGAGGCUCAUUGUAGCUUUUUACUGGUCUCAUAUCGCGAUAAUAUUAGAUCGCAUGUCCUCCAUGUUCAAAGUACACAAUAAAAAGGCCAUGGCCAAACACUGUAUGUGCUAGCACUACAAAGAUUACUGUGAGGAUCUGGAAUGAUUAUAGACAAGAUUGUAAUGUUGUUUAAGUAAAUCGAAAUGUAUUUUUUUAUUCAGCCUUCUUUUAUGAAGAUCUAAUUAAUUUUAUUUAAGACAAAAUUAAAGUGUGUUCAAACUGAAUUUCCACACAUUUAAAAAAAUAAACAUUUGAUUAUGCCUGUUGUAAUAUCACUGAAAUUGAAACCGCCAUUAAUAUGUCCAAUAAUAGAGUAAUGUUUCAUUUUCAUGUUAUCUUUAACACAAUAGCUUGCUAAUUAUGACACAUUAUUCAUUUUCAGGGUUACUUAGGCAGUAGAUGGUCCACUGAAAACAUUUAAUUCUUGGGAUGUUGAUAAAAAGUAUUGGUUUUCUUAUCAACUGGACUACCUCCUAAUAUCAAAAAGACAGAAGAGAAGAACAUGUAGUGUGUAAGAAGAAUUGUCAAUUUCCAUAAAUUACACAUUAUGACUGAAAAAUACUAAAAAUUAGAAAACAC
rnacentral:sRNA from 1 species